rnacentral:rRNA from 1 species
CAGUCGCCGCGGGAAUACGAAGGGGGCUAGCGUUGCUCGGAAUUACUGGGCGUAAAGCGUGCGCAGGCGGUUCGUUAAGACAGAUGUGAAAUCCCCGGGCUUAACCUGGGAACUGCAUUUGUGACUGGCAAGCUAGAGUAUGGCAGAGGGGGGUGGAAUUCCGCGUGUAGCAGUGAAAUGCGUAGAUAUGCGGAGGAACACCGAUGGCGAAGGCAGCCCCCUGGGCCAAUACUGACGCUCAUGCACGAAAGCGUGGGGAGCAAACAGGAUUAGAUACCCGCGUAGUCCCUGUCUCUUAUAC